GUCCACGCCCUAAACGAUGCGAACUGGAUGUUGGGUGCAAUUAGGCACUCAGUAUCGAAGCUAACGCGUUAAGUUCGCCGCCUGGGAAGUACGGUCGCAAGACUGAAACUCAAAGGAAUUGACGGGGGCCCCGCACAAGCGGUGGAGUAUGUGGUUUAAUUCGAUGCAACGCGAAGAACCUUACCUGGCCUUGACAUGUCUGGAAUCCUUUAGAGAUAGAGGAGUGCCUUCGGGAACCAGAACACAGGUGCUGCAUGGCUGUCGU
rnacentral:rRNA from 1 species